UUAUUUAUAGACUUGAAGUUGCUUAAGUGUUCACACAAAUUGCUUGAUGAUUUUAUUGUUUAGAGAGACUGAUAUUUGUUCUUUAACAAUGUGGUAAAAAGUAUAAGUAAAGAUUCCUUGAUAAAUUUAGGGUUAUUUUUAUUUUCGAUUGAGAUGUAUUUUUAUGUUUUGAUUGAUAAAUGGGAAUAAUUUUUAGUUUAUUUAAUUAACGAGUCUUGGUAAUUUUUGAAAACCGGUGUUGAGAUAUAGUUUUGAUUGGUUUUAGUUAAUAGAUUUUAGAUUUAUUGAUAUAAGACUUUUUGGGGUUAUAUGAU
rnacentral:misc_RNA from 1 species